GGGAGGCAGCAGUGGGGAAUAUUGCACAAUGGGCGGAAGCCUGAUGCAGCGACGCCGCGUGGGGGAUGAAGGCCUUCGGGUUGUAAACUCCUUUCGACAGGGACGAAGGGUAAGUGACGGUACCUGUAUAAGAAGCACCGGCUAACUACAUGCCAGCAGCCGCGGUAAUACACCAGCAGCCG
rnacentral:rRNA from 1 species